GCCGCUCUAGCUCAAUUGGCCAGAGCGUCUCCCUCGUAAGGAGAGGGUUGCAGGUUCAAGUCCUGCGGGCGGCACCA
rnacentral:tRNA from 1 species